AUGUACAAUUAUAGUCGCUUGC
rnacentral:snRNA from 1 species